GUCUUUGUGGGGUAGUGAACCCGCUCCCAGCUGCUUCAAAUGCUCACCGAACGUUCCCGGGGGUGACGGUGGUUCGAAUCCACCCGAAGACA